GCCCGGGCUCUGGCACGUUCGUUCGCGGAGCGAGGAACAAAGCGUCCUCCGCAUUCCUGCGCGCUGACUCACUGCCGUCACGUAGCGCGCCGCCACCGCCGCGCAGCUUUGCCCAAAAUUGGUCGCGAGGCGAGGGCGGGUCCGCCACCCGCUCGGUGCUGGCCUCGCCGCCUUGCGAUUGGCCCCUGGCCCCAGGUCUCCCAAAACGAUGUGAAAACGAGAGAGAAUGGGCCGCGUCAGGAAAAUCCAAACUGGACUUGAGAAUUCAGGCCUAAAACUCCAGUUGACCUGGGUUCAGAUCCCUUGCUAGAUGGAUGACCUUAGACAAGACACCAGAUUCCUGAUGAAGAAUAAGAGCAAGGAAAUGAACUGCAUCCCACGUGGAUCAUGUAUGCUGGGAUGGUGGCUAAGGAUGCAAGCCACGAUGCAGCCAUGACACAGGCAGACCUAGAUUCAAGGAACAAGCCACUUCACCCCUCUAAGCCUUCUCUUCUAUGUUGUGGGAAUAACAAGGACUCUGCUAUGGUGAUUCAAUGUGA